rnacentral:rRNA from 1 species
UGCCAGCCGCCGCGGUAAUACGAAGGUCCCGAGCGUUGUUCGGAAUCACUGGGCGUAAAGGGAGCGUAGGCGGUUUGGUAAGUCAGAUGUGAAAUCUCAGGGCUCAACCCUGAAACUGCAUCCGAUACUGCCAGACUUGAGUAAUGGAGGGGUAGCUGGAAUUCUCGGUGUAGCAGUGAAAUGCGUGGAUAUCGAGAGGAACACUCGUGGCGAAGGCGAGCUACUGGACAUUUACUGACGCUGAGGCUCGAAGGCUAGGGUAGCGAAAGGGAUUAGAUA